GACGUUACCUACAGAAGAAGCACCGGCUAACUCCGUGCCAGCAGCCGCGGUAAUACGGAGGGUGCGAGCGUUAAUCGGAAUUACUGGGCGUAAAGCGCAUGCAGGCGGCCUGUUAAGUCAGAUGUGAAAGCCCGGGGCGUUAACCUCGGAAUUGCAUUUGAAACUGGCAGGCUAGAGUCUUGUAGAGGGGGGUAGGAAUUUCAGGUGUAGCGGUGAAAUGCGUAGAGAUCUGAAGGAAUACCAGUGGCGAAGGCGGCCCCCUCGGACUAAAGACUGACGCCUCAGAUGCGAAAGCGUGGGGAGCAAACAGGAUUAGAUACCCUGGUAG
rnacentral:rRNA from 1 species